CAAGCGUUAAUCGGAAUUACUGGGCGUAAAGCGGGCGCAGGCGGUUUUGCAAGACAGAUGUGAAAUCCCCGGGCUCAACCUGGGAAUUGCAUUUGUGACUGCACGGCUAGAGUGUGUCAGAGGGGGGUAGAAUUCCACGUGUAGCAGUGAAAUGCGUAGAGAUGUGGAGGAAUACCGAUGGCGAAGGCAGCCCCCUGGGAUAACACUGACGCUCAUGCACGAAAGCGUGGGGAGCAAACAGG
rnacentral:rRNA from 1 species